rnacentral:rRNA from 1 species
UACAGAGGUCUCAAGCGUUGUUCGGAUUCAUUGGGCGUAAAGGGUGCGUAGGCGGCGCGGUAAGUCGGGUGUGAAAUCUCGGAGCUUAACUCCGAAACUGCAUUCGAUACUGCCGUGCUUGAGGACUGGAGAGGAGACUGGAAUUUUACGGUGUAGCGGUGAAAUGCGUAGAUAUCGUAAGGAAGACCAGUGGCGAAGGCGGGUCUCUGGACAGUUUUCCUGACGCUGAGGCACGAAGGCCCAGGGAGCA